UACGGGGGGGGCAAGCGUUGUUCGGAAUUACUGGGCGUAAAGGGUUCGUAGGUGGCUUGCUAAGUCAGACGUGAAAUCCCUCAGCUUAACUGGGGAACUGCGUCUGAUACUGGCGAGCUUGAGUGCAGGAGAGGAACGCGGAAUUCCAGGUGUAGCGGUGAAAUGCGUAGAUAUCUGGAGGAACACCGGUGGCGAAGGCGGCAUCCUGGACCGAGUCUGACGCUGAGGCGCGAAAGCUAGGGGAGCAAACAGG
rnacentral:rRNA from 1 species